UACGUAGGGUGCAAGCGUUAAUCGGAAUUACUGGGCGUAAAGCGUGCGCAGGCGGUUGUGCAAGACCGAUGUGAAAUCCCCGGGCUUAACCUGGGAAUGGCAUCGGUGACUGUACGGCUAGAGUGUGUCAGAGGGGGGUAGAACUCCACGUGUAGCAGUGAAAUGCGUAGAGAUGUGGAGGAAUACCGAUGGCGAAGGCAGCCCCCUGGGAUAACACUGACGCUCAUGCACGAAAGCGUGGGUAGCAAACAGG
rnacentral:rRNA from 1 species